rnacentral:rRNA from 1 species
UACGGAGGGUGCAAGCGUUAAUCGGAAUCACUGGGCGUAAAGCGCACGUAGGCUGUCUUGCAAGUCAGACGUGAAAGCCCUCGGCUCAACCGGGGAACUGCGUUUGAAACUGCAUGACUUGAGUACAGGAGAGGAUGGCAGAAUUCCGGGUGUAGGGGUGAAAUCCGUAGAUAUCCGGAGGAAUACCAGUGGCGAAGGCGGCCAUCUGGACUGUCACUGACGCUGAGGUGCGAAAGCGUGGGGAGCAAACAGG